rnacentral:rRNA from 1 species
CGACGCCGCGUGGGUGAAGAAGGCCUGCGGGUUGUAAAGCCCUUUCGGUGGGGAAGAAAAGCCUCGAGUUAACACCUCGGGGUCUUGACGUAACCCAUAGAAGAAGCACCGGCUAACUCUGUGCCAGCAGCCGCGGUAAUACAGAGGGUGCGAGCGUUAAUCGGAAUUACUGGGCGUAAAGCGCGCGUAGGCGGCUUUGCAAGUCGGGUGUGAAAUCCCCAGGCUUAACCUGGGAACUGCAUUCGAGACUGCAUUGCUAGAGUAUGGGAGAGGGAAGUGGAAUUUCCGGUGUAGCGGUGAAAUGCGUAGAUAUCGGAAGGAACAUCAGUGGCGAAAGCGACUUCCUGGACCAAUACUGACGCUCAUGUGCGAAAGCGUGGGGAGCAAACAGGAUUAGAUACCCUGGUAGUCCACGCCAUAAACGAUGAGAACUGGAUGUCGGGAGGGUCUGCCUCUCGGUGUCGUAGCUAACGCGUUAAGUUCUCCGCCUGGGGAGUACGGCCGCAAGGUUG